rnacentral:rRNA from 1 species
GACGGAGGAUGCAAGCGUUAUCCGGAAUGAUUGGGCGUAAAGCGUCCGCAGGUGGCAGUUCAAGUCUGCUGUCAAAGACCGGGGCUUAACUUCGGAAAGGCUGUGGAAACUGAACAGCUAGAGUAUGGUAGGGGCAGAGGGAAUUCCUGGUGUAGCGGUGAAAUGCGUAGAGAUCAGGAAGAACAUCGGUGGCGAAGGCGCUCUGCUGGACCAUAACUGACACUCAGGGACGAAAGCUAGGGGAGCGAAUGGG